rnacentral:misc_RNA from 1 species
GAUGAAGAACGUAGCGAAAUGCGAUACUUGGUGUGAAUUGCAGAAUCCCGUGAACCAUCGAGUCUUUGAACGCAAGUUGCGCCCGAAGCCACUAGGCCGAGGGCACGCCUGCCUGGGCGUCACACGUCGUUCCCCCCCCAUCUACUCCUUCGGGAUUGCGGGGGGGCGGAUGAUGGCCUCCCGUGCGCCUAGCCGCGCGGUUGGCAUAAAUACCAAGUCCUCGGCGACGCACGCCACGACAAUCGGUGGUUGCGAAACCUCGGUUGCCCGUCGUGUGCGUUCGUCGCGCAUCGAGGGCUCGAAAAAAUGCUCGGCUCCGGCUGGGCUUUCAACGCGACCCCAGGUCAGGCGGGGUUACCCGCUGAAUUUAAGCAUAUCAAUAAGCGGAGGA